rnacentral:tRNA from 1 species
GGGGCUGUGACUCAGUGGUAGAGCACUCACCUGGAAUGUGUGAGGCACUGGGUUCGAUCCUCAGCACCACA